GGCUCAAUGGUAGAGUGCUUGACUACGAAUCAAGAGGUUGCAGGUUCGAGCGUGAGUUGCCCA
rnacentral:tRNA from 1 species